rnacentral:lncRNA from 10 species
CUGUUGCCCAGGCUGGAGUGCAGUGGCAUAAUCAUAGCUCAUUGUAACCUUGAUGUCCUGCGCUCAAACCAUCCUCCUGCAUCAGCCUCUCUAAGCGCUGGGAUUAGAGGCAUGAGCCACUAUGCCUGGCCCUGAAAGACUUUGUAAAUAAAAGGUUAUCAUUAUCGACACUGUAUUUUCACAGAUCACUCUGGAGAAACUGAUUUCUGUUGGGUUCUUUCAUCCCCACUAUUCUUGGGGAAGAUACGAAGGUGAUGCUUCGGAAGGAGAUGCAAAGUGCUCCACAUUAUCUUCCUGUAGAACCACGCUCCAGUAAGUUAUGUUUCCAUUAGGGAGCCCACUUACCCCAAUUCUGGAUUUUGCUGGCUGUAGGCUAAUAGAUGUAGGAUGAUUUUACAGACUUGAGUGUGUUGAGCAGGUAUGUGCAGGUGUGAGGACAGAGAAGGAUCUGGGCUUUGAUCCCUUCUGUAUCUCUACCUGUGCUGAGGGCAAGAUGAGGAAAACGGCCUGGGCAGCCCCGGGCUGAGCUAUCAGUGGCCCUCAAGUGGAGAAUUAAAGAAAACAGAAUGGAAAUGAGGAAGAUUUUUUCAGAACAAGGAAGCAGACGGAGGUUUUCACCUACUUAGUCUAUCAUGUUAUGAUAGAUUAAUAAAGCCUUAUUGUUUUGUUCUGUUUUCAUCAAACAUUUACUGGCUGUCAGCUCUGCCAGCCAGCAUGCUAGCCACUGAAAAUGAAUAAGAUGCAUUUUAAGACUUUGGGACCUCUGCUUUAAAAAUAAAAGGAAGCAAGCUCUUGGUUCUAUUCUUCAGGCCACUGAUUUGGUGGAGUCAAAAAGCAUCACCCCAAGUAUCGUUGAUUGGAAACUAUAACCAUAGGUGAUGGGUGAAAAACCCAGAAAAAGAAAAAACAAA